UUCCGGAGAAAAGUUGUUGUCGUGAGCUUAAAUGUUGGUGCCUCUUUGCCAUAGAUGUCCUUGUAACAGUUUCUAUUUACAUCCAGUACCAUUGAUGGAUGCAUUAUUUACAUUGCACGGUCAUGGAAUUCCUUUGAUGCCACGGCCUGUGGUCAGCUGGCCAUGGGCUUUAAGUGGCCAUCUAUCAAAGCUGCUGGGGCUUGAUCAAUUUGUUGUCAUCCAAAAUUACAAAUCCCCAAUUGAGCUCGGAGAUCCUUAAUUCAGCAAUCUUAUGCUUUGGCCAUGGUCAAGGGUUCAAGGUUGAAUCUCAAAGUUGAGGAAACCCAUAAGUAGAUCGUUUAUAUUUGAGAUAUUAUCAGGGGUGGCAAUUAGAUCAGAUCAGAUCGAAUAUGGAUCGGAUUAAAAAAUCAUCAACCUAAAUCUGACUUAUUUAUUAAAUAAAUUAAAAAUAAAGAAUGACAAUCGAA
rnacentral:lncRNA from 1 species